AGCACACAUUUGUUUAAUUCUUUGUAAUUAAUUAUAAUCAUGAUCGUCGUUGUUUCACCACAUGGUUCCUACUGAGCCAAAAUAUUCCUAUAAAACAAUGGUAUGGGAUGCACUACGUGGCGUACACUACCUCUCUCGUGCUUUCUGUGUGCUACUGACAGACAUCUAUUUCCAGUUUUCAACACUGUUGUUGGUUAGACUUGUAAUUGUCAUUUUAAAACCUGUAUGACUUUGUUUCUUCAGUUGAACACAAAAAGAAAUGCAGAAAGCUGCUUUUUUCUGACCACUAAAGUGAACAAUGAUUCAUAAAGUUGAGGUCCAGUUGUAGUCUGUAUGAGGUCAUACAAUAUCUGACCAGAAAGUCACCAUUAUCUUUCCCUCUGCUGUAGUUUUCCAACAACAUGGAGACCUCAUUGGCUCUUGCACAUCAAGCUAGCACGUUUGAGCUUGUUUACCAUAUUUGAUGUGCUAUAUGUAUGUACACUGAACAAUGUUUAUAUGUGGAAAAAAGCCUAAAUUAAAUCUAUUCAUUUUAUAAAAUGAUAUUGAAAAGUGUAUCUCCAGAAGACUUGGAUUAAAUCGCUUGGUUCAUAUGGAUUACUUUUAGAAUGUCUUUAUGAACAUUUUAACACGUCAAAGAUCUGGUUAUGUUGAAUUUCCCAAAUUUGGGACAGAAAUCUCUCAGGUUUCAUUAAAAAUGUUUUAGUUUGUGUUUUCAAACAUCUUAUGGGUUUGGAACGACAUUAUUAUGAGAAAAUAAUGAUGGAAUUGUAAUUUUUGAGAGUACUGUCCAUUUAAAUUUCAGUCUUUUCUUCACACAAAGGCUUCAGAAUACAGCACACAAGUUGUAUGCAGUAUUUUGCGAUUGCUUUUAAUAUUUUCAUUUUAUGGAAAUGAGCAGCUUUGACAUUCUGCAAAAUAUCUAUUUUUGUUAUUCAAUUCAGAUAGAAAGUCAUACAGAUUUGGAAUGACAUAAUGAGUGGUAAAUUAUGUCACAAUUUAGUCCAGUCUGUUAAUUGUGAGAUUUCUGUCUCAGGUCAGUAUUGGUCAUCACUGAAGCCGUUGAUGGGCACAGUGGGGCAGUCGUUUCUGGGUGCCCAGAGGAAAGACUGUGAGGAAACGGACACAGUGAAUGCGAUGGCGUCCCUCUCCGUGGGGGUCUUGACCAACAAAAGCCUUGUUGAUGAACCCAUGGAGCACGACGAAGACUCCCUUUAAACCAGGUCUUUACACGUCUGAAAACUGUCCAGUACCAAAUGGCGCUCCACAACAUGUGAACGAGCCGUGCCUCAAGACCAGCAGUGCCUCAGGGGGCGUGGCUUCCUCAUCACGGC
ensembl:lncRNA